UACGGAGGGUGCAAGCGUUAUUCGGAAUCACUGGGCGUAAAGGACGCGUAGGCGGGUUGGCAAGUCAGAUGUGAAAUCCUACAGCUUAACUGUAGAACUGCAUUUGAAACUGCUAACCUAGAGUAUGGGAGGGGGAGAUGGAAUUAGUGGUGUAGGGGUAAAAUCCGUAGAUAUCACUAGGAAUACCGAAAGCGAAGGCGAUCUCCUGGAACAUAACUGACGCUAAGGCGUGAAAGCGUGGGGAGCAAACAGGAUUAGAUACCCCAGUAGUCC
rnacentral:rRNA from 1 species